rnacentral:rRNA from 1 species
GCAGUGGGGAAUAUUGCACAAUGGGCGAAAGCCUGAUGCAGCAACGCCGCGUGAGGGAUGAAUGCCUUCGGGUUGUAAACCUCUUUUAGCAGGGAAGAAGCGAAAGUGACGGUACCUGCAGAAAAAGCACCGGCUAACUACGUGCCAGCAGCCGCGGUAAUACGUAGGGUGCAAGCGUUGUCCGGAAUUAUUGGGCGUAAAGAGCUCGUAGGCGGUUUGUCGCGUCUGCUGUGAAAACCCGAGGCUCAACCUCGGGCUUGCAGUGGGUACGGGCAGACUAGAGUGCGGUAGGGGAGAUUGGAAUUCCUGGUGUAGCGGUGGAAUGCGCAGAUAUCAGGAGGAACACCAAUGGCGAAGGCAGAUCUCUGGGCCGCUACUGACGCUGAGGAGCGAAAGCAUGGGGAGCGAACAGGAUUAGAUACCCUGGUAGUCCAUGCCGUAAACGGUGGCAACUAGAUGUAGGGACCAUUCCACGGUUUCUGUGUCGUAGCUAACGCAUUAAGUUGCCCGCCUGGGGAGUACGGCCGCAAGGCUAAAA